CCGCCACCACCAGCGCCCGACCCCGAGCUCCUCCUCCCGUGCGCUUCCUCCCUGGCCUCCCUCGCGUGUGCGCCUCCUCCCCGGCCUCCCUCGCGCGUCGCCCGACGGCCGCCGCCGCCGCCGGCGACCACCCAGGUCACGCCGCCGCUCCCCUGCCUUUUCUCUUUCCUCUGUCUCUCUAAUCUCCUUGUCUCUCCUCUCCAGGAGCUCAGCGCUAGCGCCAUGCAUGCCCAGUCCUCGAGCUCACCUUGGAGGUUCGAACGCCGCAACGGGACCUCCACCGGCCAGAUCCGGCGCCUCCCUCCCGGAUCCGCGCGCCUUCCACCUCCUCUACCCGAUCCGGCGCCGCCCACCUCAGCUCCUCCUCUCCUUCGCGCGCCCGAGCUCCUCGCUAUGCGCCGCCCGGGAGGGCUCACGCUUGCUGCUUGACCAGAGCCACCACGUUGCAUUUUGCCGGCAACCUCGUCGUCCCCUCUGCACUGCCCUCCACCUCAACUGAUGUCCAUCUGAUUGUUCCAUGUUAUACUAUCUGUUGAAGAAAAUAAAUCUGUAUUAUUUACCUUGAUUUUUCUGAUUGUAGAUAAAUGACAUAGCUGAGAAAGUUCCUCCAAUGAAAGGAGGAGGAGUAUAGUCUUGGCCAUGGCUGGGAAGGAAGGAGAACAGGUUAACUGAGGAUUUUUCAGAGAGAUUAGGAUUGCUUGAUUUAUCACAGAGAAACUAAAUCAGCGGACUAGUGUGCUGGUUGAUUAGGAUCUUUCAGAGAGAUCAGGGUUGCUUGAUUAAUCAGCAAGAAAUUGGAUCAGUACUUGGGAGUUGGGACUGGUGUGCUACGGUUGAUUUGGGGAUGUGUACUAGCAGGUUUCAGGCAACUAUAUUAUACUCUUCGGUUGGGAUUAGCUUUUGCUGUUACUGACGAGAAUCAGUACAACAAUGAUGGACUGCUUUUCUAGAGCUAGAGCACUACAAAAGUAGAGAUGUUUUUUCACGGCUACACAAUAGGAAUUGAUCUUCGUUCAUUCAUAAAUCAUAAUUAAUGUAGUUCAAGCAGAGUGUUAGGGACAUUGUAGUUUGUCUGAUUAAAUCAAGACUUCAAUUAUAAAAUAAAAUUACAACUUAUAUGUAGAUAACUUUUAUUAACUUUAAUUAUUUGCAGGUCCCUGCAGUUAUUUGUCAUAUUGGAUACUUUACAAACAUUCUGUAAAUUGGUAUCAGUUGCACACUUUUUUGUUUAUCUCCAUAUCUAUGACGAUUACCCACUCCAAAGCAUCCCCACGUUAAUCUGAAAUAAAAGGAGAAGACCAGAACCAUGAUUUUUAUUCAAUGGUGGUUGAUUAGUAGUGUUCCUCUCCAACCAUUGAGGCUCAAUUUCCAAGUUCUGACCUAGCAUCAAUCCAUCAUGUAAAUAUCCAGUACAUGACUUUAUCUCACUGUGGUUAAUUUAUCAAAGGAGUUGUACGCCGUUGUUUGAAGCGGAUCAGGUGCCCGCCUCUGUCUGCGAGGCUCCCACAAGUAAUAUAGUUGCGGCCUGGCGCUGCAACAAUUUGCUACCGCGACGCCAUUCAACCUCCUCACCAUUCGCUCCUUGCCCACUCACAGGCAAGUAAAACUUUGCAUCCUUCAAUAAUCUGCUAUAGAUCAAAUACUCAUAUAAUUUAUCUCAAGUAUCACAGUCCAAAUCAUUGAUGUAUUGUUUGUCCUUCUAUCAUGCUAGAUUUUGUUGCAAGUUCAUUGGAUGUGUAAGCAAAUUUAGAGUGUUGAAGUCAUAGGAAUUAAAUAACAUUUGAGACCUCUGUCUAACAACCUUUGUGCAAGUCCGAGAUGAACAUGGCAUAUCGGUUUUCCAAGAUCGAAAAUUCAUGAAUAAACAGUUGUGAUACGAAUUUACAUAACCUGAAACCUUCUCUGAUUCAACGUAAACCAAUAAACAGGAAUUUUAUGGACUUCUAGGUCGUUUUUCCUUUGGUAACAAUAUUGUUAGUUCUAAACAAUUUUUCAAUGCCACGAUCAGGCUUCCAAGGGUUCAGAGUAUGACGAAGAAGCAUUUUAUAUCACACACUAUAUAACAUCAUGGAAUCACAACCUUAUAACAAAUAAUUUAAGAGGCUAUGUUCUGGUUUGCUGUAUCUUCACCAGUUUGGGUUGGUCUGAUGGCUAACCUAAACUGAAUAGGGAAUCAAGAGUACUUUAGUUGGUAUUGAAAGUGGUAUGUUUGCUUUCAAGUUGAAAAUCUUGCAAGUUUGGUCCUGGGAUAUUUAAUGCUCCCUUUUCUUAUUAUCUUCCAAUCAUACUUUACAUAUUUAGUUUUUUACUUUCUCUUGACAAGUGAACUGAAUUAUUCAUGGAGAAUCUGGUUAUGGUAAAUUUUAUUAUGGAGAUUCAUCCGAUGUAAUAGAAUAGCUUUAUUUGCUAAAAUCAGUACAUAACUAUCGUGUUGUAUGGUUUCAACAUGUAGAGUUUUGCAAGUGAGAGUUACAGGAAGUCACUAUUGCAAGAUGGCAUUCAGUUAACACAUGUACAGUCGACUGAUCACUGUUUCUUUUUUUUGCUAAUUUAAUUUGAAAAAGCUACUGCAAACAUUUUUUUCUUCUGAAAUUAUAUACUCUAUUUAUUUCUAAUGUGAUUUUGUUACUGUUUGUAUGGUAUUUCUCUGCCUAAAUUUUUUGUUACAUAAAUCAAUCUGCAUAUAUGUGUGCAGGCUGUGAAUCGACAAACAUCGAAAAUAUGGCAUGCUACAUACCCUGUGACAGCACAUUAUCAGAAAUACUUAUAUUUCUGAUAAACGCAUCUCUCAUCCAUCAUGACAUAGAUGUGAUAAGUUACAAGUGUUCUUUUUCAUUCUCUUGCGAUGCGUUGAGUAUAUGAUGGAUGAUCUAAUCGUUCAGUAUGUCAUGUGUGCUCAAUCACUUGUCAUUUUCAGAUUUUAGAAGUCAAAAUUCUAGCUUUAGCUCUAUAUUUAAGAAUUUUUCUACGGCAAAUGCAAGAAAAAUAAAGCGUCCUGCUGCUCUCAUUCUGAGGAAGUUCUAAAAAUUGAGGCAUUUGUAUGAAUUUCUAUUCUUCAUUAUAAAUUAUUCUUUCAAGUUUAGAAAAUAAAACCUGAUAUACUCUGUAUGUCUCUCUUCUACACUACCACUACCAUUUUAUUGCUGCAAAACGCUAGUGAAAAAGUCAUUAAUGUUUUACAAGUUUUUAUACAAUCAAGCUGAAAAGGGCAAUAAAAUGAUCUGUUUUCACAUCGCCUCAGAUCUUACCGAAAGGCAGUGUGCUUAUAAUGUACAUCUAGCAAUAAUGUGUUUGAGAAUGCUUCGGUCAGCAUGUGGGGUGUGAGGGAGGAUACUUAUAUCACUUAGUGGCCAAGGGAAUGACAUUACAAAAGUUUAUCUAACAUCCUAGGAGAAGAUGGACACAUGUUCCUAUAUUGCUCCUCUACAAUUGCUUUCACCAUUUGAUCAUCCAUGUAAUUUAUAGCAUCCAUGCAUGGCUUAUCCUUAGGCUGUUUGAUGAGGACAUCAAUACCAUUGUUACACCCAUAACCCCUGCUACUAUACAUAUUGGACCGAUUACUAGAGCUCGUGCACGCCAAUUAAAUUACCAGGGCCUAGCUUGGAGAAGGAUGAACAUUGGAGCAAGAACAAGCAUGGAGUUGAUAGCAUGCGUAAGGGAGACAAGAACAGAGUUUCAAG